AUACAUGCAGUCGAGCGAACAGAUAAGGAGCUUGCUCCUUUGACGUUAGCGGCGGACGGGUGAGUAACACGUGGAUAACCUACCUAUAAGACUGGGAUAACUUCGGGAAACCGGAGCUAAUACCGGAUAACAUAUUGAACCGCAUGGUUCAAUAGUGAAAGGCGGCUUUGCUGUCACUUAUAGAUGGAUCCGCGCCGUAUUAGCUAGUUGGUAAGGUAACGGCUUACCAAGGCAACGAUACGUAGCCGACCUGAGAGGGUGAUCGGCCACACUGGAACUGAGACACGGUCCAGACUCCUACGGGAGGCAGCAGUAGGGAAUCUUCCGCAAUGGGCGAAAGCCUGACGGAGCAACGCCGCGUGAGUGAUGAAGGUCUUCGGAUCGGAAGACUCUGUUAUCAGGGAAGAACAAAUGUGUGAGUGACUGUGCUCAUCGUGACGGGACCUGAGCAGGAGGCCACGGCGAGCUAGGUGCCAGCUGUAGCGGUAAUACGUGUAAUACGUAGGUGGCAAGCGUUAUCCGGAAUUAUUGGGCGUAAAGCGCGCGUAGGCGGUUUUUUAAGUCUGAUGUGAAAGCCCACGGCUCAACCGUGGAGGGUCAUUGGAAACUGGAAAACUUGAGUGCAGAAGAGGAAAGUGGAAUUCCAUGUGUAGCGGUGAAAUGCGCAGAGAUAUGGAGGAACACCAGUGGCGAAGGCGACUUUCUGGUCUGUAACUGACGCUGAUGUGCGAAAGCGUGGGGAUCAAACAGGAUUAGAUACCCUGGUAGUCCACGCCGUAAACGAUGAGUGCUAAGUGUUAGGGGGUUUCCGCCCCUUAGUGCUGCAGCUAACGCAUUAAGCACUCCGCCUGGCCCCUUAGUGCUGCAGCUAACGCAUUAAGCACUCCGCGUGGGGAGUACGACCGCAAGGUUGAAACUCAAAGGAAUUGACGGGGACCCGCACAAGCGGUGGAGCAUGUGGUUUAAUUUGAAGCAACGCGAAGAACCUUACCAAAUCUUGACAUCCUUUGACCGCUCUAGAGAUAGAGUCUUCCCCUUCGGGGGACAAAGUGACAGGUGGUGCAUGGUUGUCGUCAGCUCGUGUCGUGAGAUGUUGGGUUAAGUCCCGCAACGAGCGCAACCCUUAAGCUUAGUUGCCAUCAUUAAGUUGGGCACUCUAAGUUGACUGCCGGUGACAAACCGGAGGAAGGUGGGGAUGACGUCAAAUCAUCAUGCCCCUUAUGAUUUGGGCUACACACGUGCUACAAUGGACAAUACAAAGGGCAGCUAAACCGCGAGGUCAAGCAAAUCCCAUAAAGUUGUUCUCAGUUCGGAUUGUAGUCUGCAACUCGACUACAUGAAGCUGGAAUCGCUAGUAAUCGUAGAUCAGCAUGCUACGGUGAAUACGUUCCCGGGUCUUGUACACACCGCCCGUCACACCACGAGAGUUUGUAACACCCGAAGCCGGUGGAGUAACC
rnacentral:rRNA from 1 species